UACAGAGGUCUCAAGCGUUGUUCGGAUUCAUUGGGCGUAAAGGGUGUGUAGGUGGCGCCGUAAGUCGGGUGUGAAAUCUCGGGGCUUAACUCCGAAACUGCAUUCGAUACUGCGGUGCUUGAGGACUGGAGAGGAGACUGGAAUUCAUGGUGUAGCAGUGAAAUGCGUAGAGAUCAUGAGGAAGACCAGUGGCGAAGGCGGGGUCUCUGGACAGUUCCUGACACUGAGACACGAAGGCCAGGGGAGCAAACGGG
rnacentral:rRNA from 1 species